UACGAAGGGGGCUAGCGUUGUUCGGAAUUACUGGGCGUAAAGGGCGCGUAGGCGGCUGUACAAGUCAAAGGUGAAAUCCCUCGGCUCAACUGAGGAACUGCCUUUGAAACUGUACGGCUUGAGGCCGGGAGGGGGUGAGCGGAAUUCCCAGUGUAGCGGUGAAAUGCGCAGAUAUCAGGAGGAACACCGGUGGCGAAGGCGGUUCUCUGGGCAUUACCUGACGCUGAGGAGCGAAAGUGUGGGGAGCGAACAGG
rnacentral:rRNA from 1 species